UGUUAUUAUUAUACACGCAUACAGUACUUACAUACCUACGUAAACGACAACUAAUAUACAGCGCGUACGCCUAUGUACAGUGUGAUUAUUUUAUCGUCGAACGCUCGUUAUUUGUCGAAAAUUAAAUAGUGGCUCUUUUGCUAAACGAAAUUCCGUUGUAUAAUUCACCAUACGGCUCUAAAACGUUACGUCGUCAUUAUUUUUCGUCGUCCUUGUUUUCGCGAUUGAAACGACUGGCUAUACAUUUCAAACGGCCAACUGUGUUUAAAAAGACGCACAUACUUCGCACGAUGGGUGCAAACCACUGUUGUUGGUGAGUAGUUGGAAAGGUAAGAUAUAAAAGGGAAAUUGAUUUGUAUCUGUAAGCAACGAUAAACCAUUGCUUACUAAAAACGAUUCUGAGCGGAGUUCAGUUGAUAGUGAUGCUCUGUUAACAAUAUGUAUGUCCUAUUCAUAUAUUACGGUAAA